rnacentral:rRNA from 1 species
GACGAACGCUGGCGGCGUGCCUAAUACAUGCAAGUAGGACGCAGUUGCGAACGGGUGAGUAACGCGUAGGAACCUACCUAUUAGAGGGGGAUAACUAUUGGAUAAGAUAGCUAAUCCCGAAUACUAGUAGAUGUACCUGAAUUGUAUUAGCUAGUAGGUAGGGUAAUGGCCUACCUAGGCGACGAUACAUAGCCGACCUGAGAGGAUGAUCAGCCACACUGGGACUGAGACACGGUCCAGACUCCUACGGGAGGCAGCAGUGGGGAAUAUUGCACAAUGGGCGAAAGCCUGAUGCAGCCAUGCCGCGUGUGUGAAGAAGGCCUUCGGAUUGUAAAGCACUUUAAGUUGGGAGGCGUUACCAACAGAAGAAGCACCGGCUAACUUCGUGCCAGCAGCCGCGGUAAUAC